UACUCGAGUGGCGAACGGGUGAGUAACACGUGGGUGAUCUGCCCUGCACUCUGGGAUAAGCCUGGGAAACUGGGUCUAAUACCGGAUAGGACCAUGCUUUAGUGUGUGUGGUGGAAAGUUUUUUCGGUGUAGGAUGAGCCCGCGGCCUAUCAGCUUGUUGGUGGGGUAAUGGCCUACCACGGCGGCGACGGGUAGCCGGACUGAGAGGUUGGUCGGCCACAUUGGGACUGAGAUACGGCCCAG
rnacentral:rRNA from 1 species